rnacentral:rRNA from 1 species
GUGUCAGCAGCCGCGGUAAUACGAAGGGGGCAAGCGUUGUUCGGAAUCAUUGGGCGUAAAGGGCGCGUAGGCUGCUCAGUAAGUCAGUUGUGAAAUCCCUCGGCUCAACCGAGGAACUGCGUCUGAUACUGCUGGGCUUGAGUCCCGGAGAGGGUAGCGGAAUUCCCAGUGUAGCGGUGAAAUGCGUAGAUAUUGGGAGGAACACCAGUGGCGAAGGCGGCUACCUGGACGGGUACUGACGCUGAGGCGCGAAAGCGUGGGGAGCAAACAGGAUUAGAUACCCUGGUAGUCCACGCCGUAAACGAUGGGCACUUGGUGUUGCGGGUAUCGACCCCUGCAGUGCCGAGGCUAACGCAUUAAGUGCCCCGCCUGGGGAGUACGGUCGCAAGGCUGAA